GCCCGUAUAGCUCAGUGGUAGAGCGUCGGUCUUGUAAACUGAAGGUCCGUAUUUCAAUUCAACGUGAUGGCA
rnacentral:tRNA from 1 species